rnacentral:rRNA from 1 species
GAUGAACGCUGGCGGCGUGCCUAAUACAUGCAAGUCGAGCGAACAGACGAGGAGCUUGCUCCUCUGACGUUAGCGGCGGACGGGUGAGUAACACGUGGAUAACCUACCUAUAAGACUGGGAUAACUUCGGGAAACCGGAGCUAAUACCGGAUAAUAUAUUGAACCGCAUGGUUCAAUAGUGAAAGACGGUUUUGCUGUCACUUAUAGAUGGAUCCGCGCCGCAUUAGCUAGUUGGUAAGGUAACGGCUUACCAAGGCAACGAUGCGUAGCCGACCUGAGAGGGUGAUCGGCCACACUGGAACUGAGACACGGUCCAGACUCCUACGGGAGGCAGCAGUAUGGAAUCUUCCGCAAUGGGCGAAAGCUUGACGGAGCAACGCCGCGUGAGUGAUGAAGGUCUUCGGAUCGUAAAACUCUGUUAUUAGGGAAGAACAAAUGUGUAAGUAACUAUGCACGUCUUGACGGUACCUAAUCAGAAAGCCACGGCUAACUACGUG